UCCGGUUUGUCACCGGCAGUCUCAUUAGAGUGCCCAACCAAAUGUAGCAACUAAUGACAAGGGUUGCGCUCGUUGCGGGACUUAACCCAACAUCUCACGACACGAGCUGACGACAGCCAUGCAGCACCUGUGUCCAGGUUCCCUUUCGGGCACCCCUGCAUCUCUGCAGGGUUCCUGGCAUGUCAAGGGUAGGUAAGGUUUUUCGCGUUGCAUCGAAUUAAACCACAUCAUCCACCGCUUGUGCAGGCCCCCGUCAAUUUCUUUGAGUUUUAAUCUUGCGACCGUACUUCCCAGGCGGCACAUUUAACGCGUUAGCUACGCCACAAAAGGGGUCGAUUCCUUUUACAGCAAAUGUGCACCGUUUACGGCUAGGACUAC
rnacentral:misc_RNA from 1 species